rnacentral:rRNA from 1 species
UACGAAGGGGCUAGCGUUGCUCGGAAUUACUGGGCGUAAAGCGCACGUAGGCGGCUUUCUAAGUCGGGGUGAAAUCCUGGAGCUCAACUCCAGAACUGCCCUUCGAUACUGGAGAGCUUGAGUCCGGGAGAGGUGAGUGGAACUGCGAGUGUAGAGGUGAAAUUCGUAGAUAUUCGGAAGAACACCAGUGCGAAGGCGACUGACUGGACAAGUAUUGACGCUGAGGUGCGAAAGCGUGGGAGCAACAGGG